rnacentral:lncRNA from 1 species
UCGCGUGACUAUCAUGCAGCGCCAUAAACCUAUAUGGUGUCAAUUGAAAAUAUUUGGUCAAAUGCACCUCCACCCCACAACCAAUUCAUUACACCUUCACCCACUUACUUUGACCAAAGCUUUAACCCAUCCUCCAAUUACAACUACAACCAAACUUACCAAUCACCACCACAACCCACAAACCAAAUCUUACAAAACACCUCAAUCUCAUAUCCAAGCUAUUCUCAACAAAGUCAUCAUGGAGAAAGCUCCCGAACAUCAAACUAUUCAUUUGAUGACAUCAAUCCAACUCAGUACACCUCACAAACCAGUUACCCAGACUAGUCACAAUACUCCUCGUUCAACCUACCAACCCCUCCAUACAUUGUAAACUAUCCCAAAACAAACUACACACCUCAAUGGCCAAAUUCACAAACUAAUACCAUAGAAAGUCUAACAGCAGGGUUUAACGACGAUGACUUCGUUAAUGAAAUAUGGACCAACUCAGCCCCACAAGUGAAAAAUGAAGUCACUAUGGAAACUAAUGAUGAUACUGAAAUUCCUGAUGAGGAUGUGGAACAGGAAGAGCACGAGGAAGAGGAAGAGCAAAACUAACGACCCGUACGAACUAAAAAAGAUAAAUUAUGUGCUACGGGAGGUUAUAGUUUACAUUGGCGUAAAUGGAUGUUGUGGAGAAAGUAGUUUUUGUUUUUAUUUCUAACACUAUGAAUAAAAUAAUUAGUGUUUUUAAAUUAAUAAAUAAUAUUUAUCAUCAUUAUCCUUAUAAUUAAUACGCAUAUGUUGCCUAAAAAAAACAAAAAACGAAAAAAAAUAACCAAUAUUCAAUCCCGCCAUUUCAAAUGGCGGUAAUGAAAAAAAAAUUAAAAGAAAAAUGAUCAAACCUGCGGAACCUGUCACGCACAGACAUAUGUCAGAGAAGGGGCUCAUUCCCGCCGUUUCGAAAGGCAAGAAUGAGGAAAACGACAAAAAAAAAAAAAAAAAAAACCACCAAAAAUAUAAAGUGGGUCAUUUUGAAAAAUAAAAUUGAGAGGGGUUCAGAUUUUGGAUUUUUUUGGGAUAUAGGGUUAGAAGAAAAAAAUUCUCAUAGGUAUAGAAUAUUUAUGAUGAUAAAUACAAAGCUAGCCACAACUUAUAUGAUCUCAUGAUCAACAUAAUUUAGUUUUUAUUUUCUAUCUAAUCGAUGACUUCUAUCAAGAACAAUAAUAGAUUGAUUACGAAUUCUACUAACACUAACGUAAUGUUGAUUCCGCUUUCGUCCCCGACCUCUCAUUAUGAAAUUAUCAAUUUCGGGUGAUGUAAGUAGUUAUGUAAACCUAAACUUUUUUGUAACCAAAUUAUUUAAUAGAUAAUUCAUUUUUUUAAAUAAUAUAUUGAUAGAGGAUAUUUUAAAUAAUUAUUUGAUUAAAAUUAAAUUACUUAUUUUAAUCAUGAAAUAAUUUUAUUAUAUAUAAUGAUGAGCAGGACUAGGGGUAAGGUUGUGAUAACAAAUUUUUAGGGGCAAGGUUGUCAUACCAAAAAGCAAAACCUGAAGCCGCUGGAGUCUACAAUUUAUCUGUGUUUUAAAAGUAAUUUUUAGUAGCGACUUUAUUUUGAUUUUGAUCAUAUAAGAAAAGUUGUAAUGGAGCCUCUAAUGAUUUCCAACCCUAAUUUGUUUGAUUGCUGCAAAUGUUUUCAACCCUUAACUAUUCCUGUCUUUCAGGUAUGCAUUUUCUUUUCAUUUUUCUUUCAUGAAUUAUUUUCAUAUGUGAAGAGCCAAUAUGUUUCAAGCUCUAUAUUCAUUAGUGUCGGCUAACAGAUACAGACACGGACACAAAACACUAUACGACGAUACGGCUAUUAAUUUGAGAAAAUCGUAUAAUUUAGUGUAAUUAUGUGUGUGGUGUUGUGUGGGGCACGACACAUGUCCAUCACUGGGACUCGCCUAAUAUGAGUGUCUGCUUCGUAGCACAUGACACACCCCAUCAUGCUCCAAAUUAGACAUGAGCGUGACCCCCCGAGUGACAAAUGACCCAAUAAAUCUUGGAUAGACUAUGAAAUUUUUGAGAAGAAUAUAUUGAGAAUGAUUACCUUUAUGUUGGUUAUACUUUUGAUUACAAAACUUGCUAACAAGCCUUACAAUGAAUCUCUUAUUUUAUUCUAACAAAUGGUUCAAAGUAUAAUUUGAUGAUUUUCUUUUAUGUUGCAAUACCUUUCAGUGUGAUAAUGGUCAUAUUGUUUGCUCUACCUGCUGUACUAAACUUAGGAACAAGUGUCAUGAGUGCUCGUUGCGCAUUAGCUCAAAACGUUGUAAAGCCAUUGAGAAUAUAUUGUUAUCUAUUGAAAUGCCAUGUCCGAAUGCAAACCAUGGUUGCAAGGAGAAAAUAAGUUACACUGGAAAUAGGAAGCAUGAAGACGAAUGCAUCUACUUUCCAUGUUACUGCCCUCUUUCUGGUUGUGACUUUGCUGCAUCAUCAGAAGUGUUGUCCAACCAUUUCAGCCAUAAACAUGGGGAUUCUCGAAUCAAAUUUUCUUAUGGUCACUCCUUCAAUGUCUCUUUGAAGUCUAAUGAUGAAACCAUUGUUCUUCAAGAGGAAACUGAGGGCAAACUAUUUAUUCUCAAUAAUAGAACCACACUUUUGGGAAAUGGAGUCAAUAUUUGCUGCAUUGGUCCUAACUCUUCUGAGUCCGAGUAUAGUUAUGAUAUAUUGGCUAGGUCUCAGAUAUGCAAACUGACUUUACAGUCUUUUGUGAAGAACGUCCAAGAGGUUGCUUUAGCAACUCCUUCAUCAGAGUUGCUUGUGAUUCCAUUUGGUUCUUCCGAACCUCUCAAGCUAGAUAUUUGUAUAACCCCCAUGGUACCUCCUAUCUCCUUUUCUUUGCUUUAUUAUUAUUUUUUUUUUCCGAUUACAUUUUUGUUAUUUUCUUUUCUGUUUUGAAUUUAUACUAUAGCAUUUUAUCUCAAAUUCAUCAGUUUUUGAAAUGCCAAAACUAAGGUUGUUAGUGUUUUCUAUUUUUGGAUUAGUUCUUGAAAUGUCAGUCUCAAAUUUUCUUUUACUGAUUUAAUGGUAUUUGUGGUGCAGAUGCAAAUCUACGUGGAAGAUCUGAUUGGAAAGACAAUUCCCCUGAGGGUUGAGAGUUCAGACACGAUAGUCGAUGUGAAGAAGAAGAUUCUUGACAAGGAAGGGAUCCCAAUACACGAGCAACGUCUAAUCAACGACGGUAAGCAACUAGAGGACAAUCUUACCCUUGCCAGUUACAACAUCCAAGAGAACUCAACCAUCCUCCUUGUCCUCCGCCUCCAUGGGAGCUAGCUGACCAGCACGCCAUAUCUCCAAUUACUUCAUCCGAGCAAAGCAGGCAACUUUCCACCUCAUCGUCCACCGCUGUCGGCAACCCUUAUCGUGAAGACAAUCCACCCUAUAUGUAGAGAAGUCAUGCAUUAUUUGAUAACAUAGAGUCUGACUUUUGCUUUUCUUAUUAAGAUUUUGACUUGUUCUUUUUCGAUUGCCUUGAGCUGUAUAAUGAGUUUUUUUGACUGGAGAUGAUUUUCUGCAACUGAAGAAACCUAUUUACUGGGAAUCAAGCUGCUUAAUUGUUGUUUCUCACUCUUAGAUAUUUUCUUGAUCCUACAUUUCCUGAAAUUUUUUGUAAGCGUAAUAUCUAAAUAUAAUUAAAAUAAUGUAUGUUAUCAACAUGAGUUGAGUCUAGCGGAAGAUGUUAGAUUCCCACAAGUGUGUUGAACCAAUUUACUUAAUUCCGAUUGAAAGAGGCACACACAUUAAGGCUCUAUUUACGAGUUUGGAGGCCACAACUCCUCUAUUUUGUACUAUAUACACUAAAGAUUCAACAUGUCAUGAAUCUAAAUACAUAACCAAAAAAACAAACAAAGGAAACUUUCAUGUUUCAAUCAACAUACAACUGAAUAUUACAUGAUUCUUUCUCAAGCCUUUAAGGGUAAGGAUUUUCAUCUUCCAUAAGAAAAUAAAUGAGUGUAAUAAUCAAUGAAAAUGGUGUCAUAUUAAUCUCACUGUGGUUUUUGCUCCACCUUAGCUCUAAUCUUCUGCUCCAAAACAGAAACCUCAGUUUCAAGACUAAACAUUCUGUUCAAAGCAUGCAUAUUCUCAAGUGUCUCACUCAAAGUCCUACUAUCACUCCCAUCACAUCUCAAAUGUUGCAUUGGACCAUGAAGCAUUUUAUUCACUAUACCUUUACUUAGAUCAUCCACAGCUUUUUGUGUCUUCUUAUUUAUAUCAUCACCCAUUUUACCUAAACAUUUCUCAAGCUCAGCAACCCUUAAUCUUUCAGCAUAAGCCCUUAAUUUCUUAAUGGUUGGAACAGUUUCUAAUGAGUCUCUCCAAGCUUCAAAUUGUCCCGAUUCUUCGCCGAUGAUCACUUGUGCUUCCAUUGCUUUUCUUAGCCUAUCCUCUUUGUUGGCAGCCACAACCUCUUUAAGAUCAUCAACAUUGUAAACCUUAACAGACUCAAGGUCAUCGACACAUGAACCUACGUUUCUCGGAACAGAAAUAUCUACGAAGAGGCGUUUUCCUCCCAUUUCUUCGCUUGCUAAAGGAAGUUCCUUAACAUUUUGUUUAAAAAUCAAAGGAUUCUCUGAUGCAGUGCUAGUGAAAACAACAUCUGCUUCACCAAUACAUUCAAGCAUUUCCGAAAGCGGUUUGUAGAUUAUCUCAACAUCAUUUAUUUCUUCACGGAUUGCUGCGACUCUCCCUUCGGUUCUAUUAACAACUACCAUCUUUUUACACCCUUUUGCAACCAAAUGUUUGAUCACAAGCUUCCCCAUUUUACCAGCUCCAAUAACAAGCAUUCUUGCAUUUCCAUGUGAGGCUUGAUCAGGUAACUUCAUCAAGGCUAAUUCGACUGCAGCCGAGCUAACAGAAACUGCACCAGCUGCAAUGUUGGUCUCGGUUCGGACCCUUUUACCGACGGUGAUUGCGUGCUUGAACAAACCACUGAUGUUUCUACCAAAGCCAUUAACUCCUUGUCCUGCUUUCACAACUUGUUUG